UACGUAGGUGGCGAGCGUUAUCCGGAAUUAUUGGGCGUAAAGAGCGCGCAGGUGGUUGAUUAAGUCUGAUGUGAAAGCCCACGGCUUAACCGUGGAGGGUCAUUGGAAACUGGUCAACUUGAGUGCAGAAGAGGGAAGUGGAAUUCCAUGUGUAGCGGUGAAAUGCGUAGAAAUCAGGAGGAAUACCAGUGGCGAAGGCGGCUUUCUGGACUGACCCUGACGCUGAGGUGCGAAAGCGUGGGUAGCAAACAGGAUUAGAUACCCU
rnacentral:rRNA from 1 species